rnacentral:lncRNA from 1 species
ACGAGAUUCUUCUUGCUAGAUACUUCUAGAAACUCUACACGCACACUCGCACUGAGCUAGUGGUUACUAAAACCGUUACAACAAUAUUGCCAGCUCAGCAUAACCAACUUAUAACUAACACACUCAGCUGCAGGGGAAACCAUCAAGCUUACUGCGCAUCCUCUGUAAUCAAGCUUCUUUAAGCAUGCUCUGCAGAUCAUAUUUUUGUGGGUCUUACAUUAUCCAAAAAAAUAACUCGUCCAUCUAGUAACUGCAAGUACAUACUGUGAGAUGCUUAAACUCAACAAUAUAAGCAUGGUAAAUUAGAGAAAAAUGAUGCAAAUUAGAUACACCUGCACAGAAUGCCAGUUAAUUUGGUCAUAAUUAGAUAACAAGAUUGCAAAUUCUGCAGCCAAAGGUAGAACGCAACUAAGGAAAUCAAAUAUGAACAUGUCUUCAAUCUCAAAAUAUUAAGAGUAGCAUAAGUAACUUGUGAAACAGUUAUAAGUUCAAAGGAAUUAGAUGAUGGCAUGGUUGAAUUUAUAAAUAUUUGAUAUUUUGGACCGAACAGGGCAAACAGAUGGAUCCAGAUAAUUAAGAAAAAAUAUCAAUUCCAUGCAACCAAAUUAGUGUGUACAAUGCAAUUGCCUUUCCCUAUGAGAGUAGAGAGCCUAAAUACAAGCAAAAACCUACUAAUGCAUCUGCAGAAGCUCACAUUCACUAGCUGCAUGAUUAAAUCACUGGAUGGUCUCGCUAUGCGGUGAAGAAUGAAAUAAUUAACGACCUGAUAAGGCUGCAACGUGAAGAAACUAUUCACCAGAAAAAGUUCAAAAUCAAAUCAACGUGGUUUUGAUUUUGGAAAAAAUGAAACAAUACGUAGUGAAUGAAUCUGCUCGUAACUAUGCAAGACACAAUCACUUCCCAGGAUCUCAGAUAUAGAUUUACCAAGUUGCACAGAUUGAAGAACGAAUCCAGAAAGAAUCAAUUUAACACAAGAAUUAAGAGAACUGAAAAGAAUAGAAACAAACACAGACAACACAAGAAUCAAUUACGUGGUUCGGUUGCACCAAGGAGGCACAACCUACAUCCACCACGGGAGAUGCUUUGGAGAGCUUUUAUUGAAUAACAAUGGAGGAUCUUUUACAGGGCUUUUACUUAAGAUUACAGAGAACUCAUCUUUCACAUUCUCUGAUAUCUCUCUCUCUCUCUUAACACGGUUACACACACGCUCAGCUCACAAACUGAACUACAAGAGCAAUUAGCUAAAUCUAGAUUGCACAGCUUGUUGACACGUUGAGUAACAGACUUAAUGAACUGAAUCAAGUUGCCUCGCACGGCUAUCACGUGCAUCACUUAAAGCUUUCCCUUAAACGACACAGAAGAACUGCCGUUUCAAACUUAAGAAACAAGUGAUUACACACGUGCUUGAGCCCGUGACUUUUAAGUGCUCUUAUCUUAUAUUGCCAAAACGCUGCCGUUUAGAGCUGAUGAGUUUGAUCCACCAGCAAGCCUCACACAAUAUCACUUGAGCAACACUAUAAAAUUAUUCAAAGAAAUCUCUAGGUCAGUAUCCAAAUAUAUGGCUCCGUCCGUUCCACCAGCACCUAAAAUAUCAGAUCCCCCCAUUUGGAUUCGAUUGAUUAAUUUGAGCAUAUAAAAUCGGGUUUUAAACUUCCCUAAUCAAAAUUUAUAUUCCGCAGAAUCGGUUCCUUUAACAUGAUGCAUUACAUAAUAUUUUGUUUGCAAAAUAAAGAAGAAAGAUGACAUAAUAGAAACACUCGCAGAGAGAGAAUACCUUUGACGAAAAGCUUAGAAGUGAAUCCUCUGUAAAAUACGAGUUGAGCUGCUGAAUUUUUCGAGUUUGAAUGAGAGACUGCGCCAUUUCUGAAAAUGUUUUUUUCUCAUUAGCGCCGCCAUUUUUGUAAUAGAGGGUAAAGAAAUAAGUAACAAAGUAAGAGGUGAGCAGAAG